rnacentral:rRNA from 1 species
UACGGAGGAUCCAAGCGUUAUCCGGAUUUAUUGGGUUUAAAGGGUGCGUAGGCGGAUUGAUAAGUUAGAGGUGAAAUGUCCGAGCUCAACUCGGGAACUGCCUCUAAUACUGUUGAUCUAGAGAGUAGAUGUGGUAGGCGGAAUGUAUGGUGUAGCGGUGAAAUGCUUAGAGAUCAUACAGAACACCGAUUGCGAAGGCAGCUUACCAAUCUAUAUCUGACGUUGAGGCACGAAAGCGUGGGGAGCAAACAGG